rnacentral:rRNA from 1 species
AUUGAACGCUGGCGGCAGGCCUAACACAUGCAAGUCGAGCGGAUGAAGGGAGCUUGCUCCUGGAUUCAGCGGCGGACGGGUGAGUAAUGCCUAGGAAUCUGCCUGGUAGUGGGGGAUAACGUCCGGAAACGGGCGCUAAUACCGCAUACGUUCUGAGGGAGAAAGUGGGGGAUCUUCGGACCUCACGCUAUCAGAUGAGCCUAGGUCGGAUUAGCUAGUUGGUGGGGUAAAGGCCUACCAAGGCGACGAUCCGUAACUGGUCUGAGAGGAUGAUCAGUCACACUGGAACUGAGACACGGUCCAGACUCCUACGGGAGGCAGCAGUGGGGAAUAUUGGACAAUGGGCGAAAGCCUGAUCCAGCCAUGCCGCGUGUGUGAAGAAGGUCUUCGGAUUGUAAAGCACUUUAAGUUGGGAGGAAGGGCAGUAAGUUAAUACCUUGCUGUUUUGACGGUACCAACAGAAUAAGCACCGGCUAACUUCGUG